rnacentral:rRNA from 1 species
GAUGAACGCUGGCGGCGUGCUUAACACAUGCAAGUCGAACGGAAAGGCCCAAGCUUGCUUGGGUACUCGAGUGGCGAACGGGUGAGUAACACGUGGGUGAUCUGCCCUGCACUUCGGGAUAAGCCUGGGAAACUGGGUCUAAUACCGGAUAGGACGAUGGUUUGGAUGCCAUUGUGGAAAGUUUUUUCGGUGUGGGAUGAGCUCGCGGCCUAUCAGCUUGUUGGUGGGGUAAUGGCCUACCAAGGCGUCGACGGGUAGCCGGCCUGAGAGGGUGUACGGCCACUUUGGGCCUGAGAGACGGCCCAGACUCCUACGGGAGGCAGCAGUGGGGAAUAUGGCACAAUGGGCGAAAGCCUGAUGCAGCGACGCCGCGUGGGGGAUGACGGCCUUCGGGUUGUAAACUCCUUUCGCUAGGGACGAAGCGUUUUUGUGACGGUACCUGGAGAAGAAGCACCGGCUAACUACGCG